GGUGCUGUGGCUUAGCUGGCCAAAGCACCUGUCUCGUAAACAGGAGAGCCUGGGUUCAAAUCCCAGCAGUGCCU
rnacentral:tRNA from 2 species